ensembl:snRNA U1 U1 spliceosomal RNA
GUAAUUACCUGGAAGGAGAGAGACUGUGAUCAGAAAAGCAGUUUUACCAAGGUGAAGCUCAGCCAUUUUAUAAUGGUUAUGCUGACCCCUGCAAUUUCUCCACCUGAAAGAAAUUGACUGCACAAUUUGUGGGGAUAGUGGAGAGUGUGUGUGUGUGUGUGUGUGUG